rnacentral:lncRNA from 1 species
UGCUCUACCAUUUGGUACUGUCAGCGUUUUGGAUAUUAGCCGUCCUAAUAGGUGCAAUGAAUGUGUCCUGCUCUUACUUGGGAUAGGUUCAAAAAUAAAUGCAAUUGAAAAAAAAUCUCCUGGGGCCAGGCGUGGUGGCUCACGCCUGUAAUCCUAGCACUUUGGGAGGCCGAAGUGGGCAGAUCAUGAAGUCAAGAGAUCGAGACUAUCCUGGCCAACAUGGUGAAACCUCAUCUCUCCUAAAAAUACAAAAAAUUAGCUGAGUAUGGUGGCACAUGUCUGUAAUCCCAGCUACUCGGGAGGCUGAGGCAGGAGAAUGGCUUGAACCCGGGAGGCAGAGGUUGCAGUGAGCCAAGAUCGUGCCACUGCACUCCAGCCUGGGUGACAGGGCUCAGACUCCGUCUAAACAAACAAAAAAAAUCUCCUGGAAGUCCCAUUUGAUCUUGGUUACAUGAGCUUACUAGAGAAUUUUGUUGUUCCCAACAUUAGCUGAGAAAUGUACUCUAAGAAGUGAAUAGACUAAAGUGGAACCAGGGUGCAGUGGAGAACGAGAGCUGUUAUCUAGAAAACCUUUCUCAGGCAUGUUUCAGCACACUCUGCUCCUGACGAUGGCUCUAUCAUCAAAGAAUUCUGUGGUCAGGUGUAUGGGAUAUGCUGCAUAGGCUCCCUAUGAGCCUCCAAAUUGUAAGUUAAAGGCUCUGAGAGCUUGGCAGUAAGUAGAAGACUCCUGGUCACAUUUGUUUAACCCAGUGUUUCCCAAACUCAUUUGGCCUUGGAACUCUAUUUCUUGGGACAUUUAUUAGCUGCUGGUGGAACCAGUGUUCAAAAAAUUACUCCCUAGACAAUUUAGGCAAAACAUCUUUUCUAUAAAUAA